UGUCAUAGCCUUUCGAGACUCAUUGAAAACCAAGGGCCUCCUUCCAGGAAAAUGUGCAUAUAAUUACUGACAUGAAUGUUUGGUUAAAGUUUCAGGAUGUUCAUGGAUUGUCUGAAGGCCUACUCUUGUGCCUCAGGUUCAGCAUCCCUAGAAAAUUAAGCCUGUGGUUGAAGAGAAGAGCCCCCUGGACAGAGGCUCUACUAUGGCCCAGCUGGACACUGCUGUGCGUCUUUUAACUGCUCGUUUGCAAGCCCAGUAAACAAGAGAAGUGAGAGUAGCUUCAAACAGGCUGAGAUGUCGUCCUCACCAGGCUUCUAAUUGGAGCCACCUGUGGUCUGCCUUGACUCGGGGUACCACCCCCCAGUAAUGUUGCCCAGGGCUCCCUGGCAGGGGCAAGGCAGGGACAUGCGGAAGCAGUAGACUGAGGACAUGUGGGCAGUUUAUUCUUUGAUGUCCUUGGAAGAGUGGUCACAGAUUGCAUGAUCUAAGUCAACAACCAGGACAGAUAACCCUCAGGAGAAUGAAGGUCAUUUCAACUAACAUGGUAAGUUCCUAUGAGAGGACUUUAAAUCAGCGCUCUCUCUCUCUCUCUCUCUCUCUCUCUCUCUCUCUCAGAUCUUUUCUUUACAUCUGUGGGUACCCCUGCCAGGUAACCAAAUAAUACAAAGCACAUAGCAUAUAGGAGAAUGGCUUCUUUCUAAGCACCCCCCAAAUGAUGGAACUACCUAGAGAUUAGUGCCUUUUUUGUGGGGAAGACUUUGAUCAUUGUGCCAUUAGAGACCAAGGUUGGAGGAAGCCAAGCCCACAAUCAGAAUGUAAUUGAAGUAUGUUACCUAUAAUAGGUUCAGAUGUUUGUGAUCUUCAGCACUUUAUGAAUUCUGCAGCAGAUGGGCGAGGGCCAGGUAGCGGGCGAGAACAGACUGAGUAAGGCAGGCUGGCACUCUGACAAGGGCAGCCCCAGCUGUGGUCCGGGUGUUAUUCAGCACGCCCACCCACUGCACCAGCAGCCUGCCUUCCCGAGCUCGUGGCCACGGCCGCUUUAAUGAAGAGUGGAGGUAAGCAUGAAUCCCGGCUUUCCAGGGAUCGCAACAUUUGAGAAACCCAGAAGAAUCGACAUGAUGGAAAUGGUGCCAAGUUCUUCUGCCUCUUGCUUUUCAACAAAAAAGAGAAAGAAAGAAGGAGAGAGAAGAGAGGGAAUCUGCUAAUAAAAUGCAUGUCUAAACAC